GAAGUGCAUAAUUGUAAUACAUACAUGCAGACACAGCAUCAUUCAUAGAAUGGAGUUUGAUACACCUAGUAUUGGAUAUGACAGAAUAUAGUUUUUUGCUAAAUAGCGAUUUCCGUAAAUUAAGUUUAUGACCAAAAAAAUAUGCAAAUCGUUUGCCUCUACAUUAACUAACAUAUUCCUCUCAAUUGUAAAUGUUUUGCUUGACUCGAUAUGACGUUAUAACUACUUACAUUUGCUUCCCCCGUAAUGUUUUGUCAGCCAUCUUUGCUGAAGAAUGUCACCAGGGAUGGGUGGCUCACAUCGAAUUCGUCAUUGGAACCACUCGAUAUGAUUGGUCAUAUAAAAACCUUGGGACCCAAAUGCAUAAUGAGUGCUCUAACUCUCCCCUGUGGUGGUCUGGAGCAAUGAAGCUGUGACACUGGGUACUUCUAAGCGGUGUAAGCUCGCAACUUUUAAAGGAGGAACCACUGUAUAUGGUUUCUCUGUUGCUCUAUCUGUGCUAUAAGGGGUGCUGCUAGGAUAUGUAUGACAGGGUAUGUACGGUUAGGUAUAAGUAGGUCUUCUCUAGUAAGACUUGAAUGUUGUCUGCUAGCCAUACAUCAUUACAAAGUAGUUAGUGACAUUAUGCUGUUUUUGAGAUGGUGGUGUUACAUUCUUAGAUGCAGCUGUUGUCCUUAUCUGCUAUGUGUAUAUUGAAACUCCCAUUUAAAUGCAGGUUUAUAAAAUAUUUGUGCAUACUGGAAUAAAUAGGGGAUGCUGUGGGGGUAUUUGUUCAGUGAGUGUAAUGGUUGCUACUACACAGCAGUCAGUGUUGGGCAGGUUACUUUCUAAAUGCAAUCUGUUACAGUUACUAGUCCAAAAUUGUAAUCAGUAACAUACUUUUGGAUUACCCAAACUCAGUAAUGUAAUAUCAUUACUUUCAGUUACAAAGGAUCCAUUGAACGCAUUGGGUGUGUCAUCAUAGUGUUUUCUGACUUGUGGUCAGACUCUUUCAGGUAGGACUAGAACAAACCUAAACUUGUGCCUUUUUUCAAUGCUGGAUUGAAUGUCAUUGAGAAAACAGAAAGGUGUCAUGAUGUAUUUUUCACAAACAUUCUUUCUGAAUUGAAAAGUAAUCUAGUUUUUCAGAAGUGUAUCUGUAAUUUGAUCACAAUAUUUUAGCUGAUAACGUAAUUGAUUACAGUUCCAGUUUUGUUGCAGUCAGAUUACAUAGAUAUCAAGUAGUAGCAUUGUGUCAUGGACCAAUCAGGUAAUUUAGCUGUGUUUGGCAUAGUUUCAAGUUUCCAGAUGAAGCUGGUUGAGAGAAUGCCAAGUGUGCAAAGCUAUAAUCAAGGCAAAGGGUGGCUACUAUGAAGAUUCUCAAAUAUAAAAUAUAUUUUGAUUUGUUUUACAGUUUUUUGGUUACUACAUGAUUCCAUAUGUGUUAUUUCAUAGUUUUUAUGUCUUCACUAUUAUUCUACAAUGUAGAAAAUAGUACAAAUUAAGAAAAAAAAUUGAAUGAGUAUUUGUGUCCAAACUUUUGAUUGAUACUGUACUUGUUGGGUACAGUAAUAAUACACAAAUGACUAUGAGCAUUUGAGGUAUUCAGUAAACAUACCAUUGGAUUUAAAGAUAGCUAUUAUUCACUGAGUAUACAAAACAUUAAGAACACCUGCUCUUUGCAUGACAGACUGGCCAGGUGAAUCCAGGUGAAAGCUAUGAUCCCUUAUUGAUGUCAGUUGUUAAAUCCACUUCAAUCAGUGUAGAUGAAGGGAAGGAUACAGGUUAAAUAAGGAUUUUUAAGCCUUGAGACAAUUGAGGAAGGUGUUCCUAAUGUGUGGUAUACUCAGUGUAUAUCCUUGCAGAUUAUCAAGUGGUCAAGUCACGUCAAAUCACAUUAUAUCUCCCGUAUCUUUGAUUAGACUGAUCAUGUCAACAUCAUACUUUAAAAAUCUUAGGUAGCAAUCUUGAAAUCAGUCAUCAUCAUGAGUCAAGUUGACGAUCUACUGGCAAAUCCUUUUCAAUCCUUGUCACAAGAGAAAUUAUAGAUACAGUAAAACGUAUCGGUGCUCAUCGGCCAUUGGACAUAAACAUUACACAACAAGUUGGAAAUCGCAAAUUCAACAAUGGGUGGUUUGGAGGGAAUCAGUUGCUAACUGCAACCUUGCAAAGCAAUCACUAGCCUGUUAUUCAGUGGGGAGGGUGUGUGGUCCAAGUCUGGGUUUAAGGAUCUCUUUUCCAAGUUGAAAAUGAUUAACAUUCAACAUUGGCCAUGCUGUUAAUCCAGCAUGAUUUCUGCUGCGUUCGAAACAACUGGGAACUGGGAAAUCUCAGACUUCAGUGAAUUCAAGACAACUGAGAACUCUGAAAAAAACGAUUUGAACUCGGAAUUCCAAGUCGAGAACUCGGGCCUCUUUCUAGAGCCCCGACCUGAAGAUCACUGAUGUCAUGAUUCAACCUUGUUUUUUCAGAGUUGUCUUGAAAGCACCAUAAAUCCAGAGAAUGCCAGACUUUGAUGACAAAGUUUGAUGACAAAAUCUGUCCACAAAAUGACCGUCGCGCAACCUUCCUGUUCAAUUGAGCACAGCACAACAAGGUAAGUCCAAAAAUAUCUUGUAUGCUGCUGCAUAAUGAUGUGCUAAUCCAGGGAGAUGUGUUAUACUGUAGCUAAGAAAGUAAUAAGUGUAUGUUGUGUAGUAAGCUGUUAGUAGCCCAUGUGCCUCAUGUUGGGGGUUACAAUGGGGGUCGGGUGUGGGACUACACCAAUGCCAUGAUUACUGUAUAUAUGUGAUAACCUUUGUAUGCUCGCAAUGCACAAUGAUGGAAAAUUACUGGGUAAUGGAGAUGUACUGUUUAAGUUCUCAGGCUGAGAACUGCCUGCACCUGCUGAUAGUCACACAGCCUCAAGGCCGAGAUAGUAAAGUGAGAAACCACAGUCUAGACAUAUUUUUCUCAUCUUAGAUACUUUGUAUCUAAUCCAAUGCAACAAUGUGAAGAUAUGAUUGACGGUAGGUUGUCUACACCAACUAGUAUAAAGACUGUUGUCUCCUGUUUCGCCACACAGAUCUUUACUAUAGACUACUGAGGUAUUCUGUAUGUGAAUCUCUGUCUGCAAUUGCAUUUUAUUACUAAAGAGUUUUAUACCAAGGUUCUUGUGUCUGUGUCAUCUAUCUGGAAGACUGAUUGUUGAAGGAAACUUACAUCACCUCAUGCAAAGGACCAGCCAACAUUUGGCGAGCUUGCCAGGAGUGAGUGACCACUGCGUCUGGAUGAUCUUCGUCCCACUGUGCAGCGCAUCAAAUUACAAGGAAAGCUCUGGAGGAGGUACCAGUUGAGGACCCCGACUGCCUGCCUGUGGAGAUUGGAGACUGGGUCAAAAUCCGGGUCCACAAGAGAAAAUGGAACCAGCCAAGAUGGAGGGGGCCAUUCAAGGUAACCAUGGCAACACCAACGGCGGUUCAGGAAAGGUCCGACUGGCACCACCUGUCCCAUUGCCAGAAGGUGUUCAGCCCACAGGAGAUGAUGGAGCCAGACACAGCCUGAAACAAAAUGCAGAAGCAGAUGUGAGUCGAGACCAAAGACUUGAAAAAGAUGAAGGGCAAGAACAAAGCCCUGAAGAACCAACUAUUUUACAUGAUCAGCAAGGUUAUGUUGUAAAUAAACAAACCCUUAGGGGUAUAAGAGAGGGAAGACGACAGCAUGAGGUCGUUGGUGGUUGACUAUGUUGGCUCUAUCCACACUACUUGUUUGUGUGGGUGAAGCCGGCCCUGUCAACACGUGGGUAAAGUUUGUUCGAGACUUAGGUUGAAAAGUGGUCCCAAAUGGGACUGCAGUGUUCAUUUUUUGUUGUUGUUUUGUCUAAACCCAAAUCCAUGAGAGAGUUGUUUGGUUCAAUGAGUAGACCAAUGGCAGAGACAGACCAUGCCUGGUUUAAAGGUAAUGGGUUUACCUGCCUCCUAUGAUGAAUACUAUGACGCCACUGACCCAGAGGAUGAUUACUAUACUACCUAAAUGUGAAUGGUUAAAAUUUCCAGAUGUCUAACGUCAAUUUCUGUACAUGGUUAUAUGAGACUAGGUAGUCUCAAAGGGGGGAAUGUUGGGGGUUACCCUGGGGGUCAGGUGUAGGGCUACACCAAAUGCCAUAUUUACUGUAUAUAUGUGAUAACCAUUGUAUGCUUGCAAUGCGCAAUGAUGGAAAAUUACUGGGUAAUGGAGAUGUACUGUUUUAAGUUCUCAGGCUGAGAACUGCCUGCACCUGCUGAUAGUCACACAACCUCAAGGCCGAGAUAGUAAAGUGAGGAACCACAGUCUAGACAUGUUUUUCUCAUCUUAGAUACUUUGUAUCUAAUCCAAUGCAACAAUGUGAAGAUAUGAUUGACGGUAGGUUGUCUACACCAACUAGUAUAAAGACUGUUGUCUCCUGUUUCGCCACACAGAUCUUUACUAUAGACUACUGAGGUAUUCUGUAUGUGAAUCUCUGUCUGCAAUUGCAUUUUAUUACUAAAGAGUUUUAUACCAAG